AGAGUUGUACAUAUACUGUGAGAUUUGAUGACUGCAGCUUCUGCACUACAUUCGUUUGUGCAAUGAUAAAUGCAUCCUCGCUGGGGAAGACAGAUUCCUUAGUUAUGAUAACAGAUUUUGCAAAGGUCUUGAUCUCCAAUAUGGUUGAGCUCUCAAUAUCACGGAUAUCAUCCCCAACCCCAUAAACAAGUUCAUAGCUACUUUUCUUAAAUUCUUCCAGAACAGAACUGUCAGUUGACUGGAUCAAAACUUUCUUAGCUGUCUGAUUAUUGUAACCAGAUUUGCUUAAGGCGUCCAAAACAGCACCAGUUACACCUAAUCCCUGCUUCGCCAGGUAUGCUGCAUUCUGCGUGGAGCCAAAAUAUUUCCAAAAUAAUGAACAAGGAGUUAAAACCUUCAUUGCACAAUGAUGUUCAUGAACAUUAAAUUUUUCUCUCAAAAUAAACCAAAAAAUGCGGCUACUUUACUACUUUUACUAUUAUUUCCACUUCACUGUGAUGUCACAGUUUUUCUUUUCUUUUAUAAUCCUUUGUAUAUUUAAUGGGUAAUAACCUUCAUUAAGUAAUGAAAAUAAAAUUAUUAUGAUUUCUGUUAGUCCUUUAAAGCAUAAUGCUACUAGAAAGGCAACCGCCAUGGUGUUUGAGCAAGCAAUCAAAAUUGCUUCAUUUCAGAAAAUUGGAGAUGCUUGGUAGCUGGAAUGAUAUAUGUUGGGAUCCUUUCUGUAUUCUGCAGAGGAUUAAACCUUCAAAAUACUAGUCACAAAGUGAAUCUGUUUCCCUUUGAAAACAUACCAUUUUCUAAAGCAUUUGUUUUUUAAUGACGGUGUGUCCAGGCCAGCUUGUGCGUACCUCGGCCAUUUCACCAGGUAUCUGCUACCUCCCACCAGCACAAAUACCGGGCAGAUAUGCCUGCCAAGGCUCGGGCAAAUGAGAAGAAAUCACCUAGUGUUUUUUGUCUUCACUGGAAUUUGAACUGGAGACUCAUGGUUCUCCACCCACGUCAUUGACCACUAGGCCACACCUUUGGAUGCAUCCAAAAUCUUUUAUGGGAAAGUUUGGCCUAUUUCCCCGCAUCCAAUCACAAAUGUGAUAGCAUAAGAAGCUACCGAAUUCUCACUCAGAAUGAGAAGUGACAAGUAGUGGAUAUAAGCAUUUAGGAUUCUACACUUAAUUGAUGCAUAACAAUGUUGGUAUAAAGGCUAUGUUGCUCGGACUCUCCGAAAAUGUCGUCGGAUGCGUGUCGAAUUCUCCAAAAGCAGUGUAUUUUUGGAGAAUUCGAUAUGGGUGCGGCAGUGUUUCGGAGAGUCAGUGCAACAUAAUAUAAAGGUCUAUGGAACUGUCACUGAAUAAACUCACCUCUAUGCUGAUCAUCACACCAGAAACAGAAGUUGUAUUUUUGGCAAAUGUCAAGAAGUCCGCUAACGACAUAAAGUUUCCGUCAUUUCUGGCCUUUGGAUUCCGAAACAAUCUAAACACUGACCAUCGGUUUGAUAUUGUCGCUGCAAGAAAUUAGAGCAUGUUUAAGUGCAGUGUUGAAGCAACAGUAUUUCGAACUUUCAACUGAAGUAAUGCAUAACCUUGCAAUGAAAAAUAAUUAGAAGAAAAAGAAAACAUCUGAGGAAAUGUCCAGACAAGAAAUGAAGAUCUCUAGCAAGUUGUAGAACAUAAAGUCCCAAAAAGUGCUUGCUGAAAAAAGGAUGACAUAAAACAUGUCAAAGUGGGAAAUAGGCUAUUACUAAGCCAAAGCAAAUAAAAAGCCAAAAGAGGAAUCCAGUUUUUCUAAUUCUUUCACACAUUUCAGAACAAUGCAGUAUUCAUUAGGAUAUACAGUAGAACUGCUUUUAUUAAUGAGGAAGGAGAACUGGGAUAAUGAAUGCUACAGUAUUGCUCCCCUCUUAAGAGUUUAUAUGUGCAGUUUAAAACAAAUUAACAAGCUACAAAAGGAAUAGCUAAAACUUAGAUCCCCAAAUCCCUGAAAGUGUUAUUUGUGCAAAAAAUUAAUGCAUAAAAGUAAAGAAAUUCUCCCUAUAUGAAUGAGAUAAGAAACACAAUACUGAAGACAAACCGCCUUAUUUUACAACAAUUUUUAACAGUCCAAGAUCCAAAUGAAAGAAGUGAUCGUGGCAAAAGAUACGACUUAUUGGAGGGCAAGCAGGGGAAAAUUUAUAGAGGCAUGCAAUCUUCCAUUUUUCUUUUAUAUAGAAAGUUAGAUACAGAUGGCGUCGCACAGACGCGGAGGCAUGAAAUAGUAGGAGUGAAACAUGAUAAGCCACACAAUUUAGCACUACAAACUAACAGUUGCUUCAACUUACGUCUCAGGCUUUGAAUCUCGGUCCAAGUAAGGUUGAUAGUGAGUAUUCCAUUUGUUAUCUUAAGCUCAGGGACAGUGGUAGUAAUGCUGCUGAAUGGCGAUUGGGCUGCAGUGGUCUUGUCUAUCAGAUUUAUCGAACCAAGACAGAAAGGUAUUCCAUCUUUAGUCAUUUGGAC
rnacentral:lncRNA from 1 species